CCAAGGUAUGAUUGGUAACUGGGGUGAAGUCGUAACAAGGUAGCCCUAGGGGAACCUGGGGCUGGAUCACCUCCUUUUUAAGGA
rnacentral:rRNA from 1 species